AAAAUACUCCCUCCGUUCGGAAUUACUUGUCACAAAAAUGGAUGUAUCUACAACUAAAAUACAUCUAGAUACAUUUAUUUCUUGGACGAGUAAUUCCGAACGGAGGGAGUAGUUG
rnacentral:pre_miRNA from 1 species